rnacentral:tRNA from 1 species
GCGAGCAUGCUGGAACUGGCAGACAGGCACGUUUGAGGGGCGUGUGGGAGACCGUAUGGGUUCAAGUCCCAGUGCUCGCACCA